rnacentral:rRNA from 1 species
AUUGAACGCUGGCGGCAGGCCUAACACAUGCAAGUCGAGCGGAUGAAGGGAGCUUGCUCCUGGAUUCAGCGGCGGACGGGUGAGUAAUGCCUAGGAAUCUGCCUGGUAGUGGGGGAUAACGUCCGGAAACGGGCGCUAAUACCGCAUACGUCCUGAGGGAGUAAGUGUGGGAUCUUCGGACCUCACGCUAUCAGAUGAUCCUAGGUCGGAUUAGCUAGUUGGUGGGGUAAAGGCCUACCAAGGCGACGAUCCGUAACUGGUCUGAGAGGAUGAUCAGUCACACUGGAACUGAGACACGGUCCAGACUCCUACGGGAGGCAGCAGUGGGGAAUAUUGGACAAUGGGCGCAAGCCUGAUCCAGCCAUGCCGCGUGUGUGAAGAAGGUCUUCGGAUUGUAAAGCACUUUAAGUUGGGAGGAAGGGCAGUAAGUUAAUACCUUGCUGUUUUGACGUUACCAAAAGAAUAAGCACCGGCUAACUUCGUG